UGGGGAAUAUUGCACAAUGGGGGAAACCCUGAUGCAGCGACGCCGCGUGAGUGAAGAAGUCUUUCGAGUCGUAAAGCUCUGUCCUAUGAGAAGAUAAUGACGGUAUCAUAGGAGGAAGCCCUGGCUAAAUACGUGCCAGCAGCCGCGGUAAUACGUAUGGGGCGAGCGUUGUCCGGAAUUAUUGGGCGUAAAGGGUACGUAGGCGGUUUUUUAAGUCAGGUGUCAAAGCGUGGAGCUUAACUCCAUUAAGCACUUGAAACUGAAAGACUUGAGUGAAGGAGAGGAAAGUGGAAUUCCUAGUGUAGCGGUGAAAUGCGUAGAUAUUAGGAGGAAUACCGGUGGCGAAGGCGACUUUCUGGACUUUUACUGACGCUCAGGUACGAAAGCGUGGGGAGCAAACAGG
rnacentral:rRNA from 1 species